GCCAACAGCUUUAUUACCCUGUAACUCAAAAUUGGGAGCCCACUGAAGCUCAGCAGGUGUGAGCCUGGUCAGUACCUGGAUGGGAGACCUCCUGGGAAAAACUAAGGUUGCUGCUGGAA
rnacentral:rRNA from 1 species